rnacentral:misc_RNA from 1 species
AUUUGGGCAAGCCAAAAAAAAUUACAAAAACUGUAAGAAGAUAGAACCUUAGCGAAUCGAAAAGAGACAAAAAGAAUCAGAACUGCCAAAAAGAAUAGCAAAUAGCAUGAGCAUGUGAGAAUAAUCAUCAUCAAAACUGAUCUGGAGAAAACAAAUGGCUAGAUAGAUCUCUCUCGCUCUCUUCAAAGGGAAAUGUGAAGCACCCAAUAAUGAUGAAGCUGAUUAAACUGUCCACAUACAGCUCCGCAAACAAAACUACUGAGCCUAGAACAGUAAUUUAGAAUAACCAUAGUUUUUGACUACUUUUAAGCGAGAAAAAUGAAUUAGCCAAGCUGUUCAGCUACUUUAAUAUUCCCCAUGUCCCAGACCACCAACACCAAGGCUCAGUCAAUUACUCUGGUUCGGAUUUGUUAUGUAAUAGGCCUAGCCUGCCCAUAAAAUAGAAGAAUAUAUUUUCAUAUAAAUCAUAUGGGCUGGCUUAAUCAAAACACUUGGCAUAGAUUUUCAAACCAGGCUUGGGCAUAGACAGUUAAAUUUCAACCUUAACCCAGUCCACCAAGUCCACCAGAUGAUUGUCUGGUCAACUAAAUAUCAAAUGAGUUUAAAGGAGGCACAACCCUGAACUAUUGUCAUCACAUAUAAACAGUUUUUGUUCAGCUAGAAAGACCAUCUUUAUUUUAGAUAGAUGUUAUCCUUCUAAGCUGCAAAAACUUGAGGCUAUUUUCACCUGAAUCUUCGCCGCUAAAUACGUGUUACCAUCUAAUGCCUUUUAACCAUGAUCAGCGAGAGCUCUUCCUUCCAGUAUUAAAAGGUAAGAUAGAAUAAAAACAUCAAGAGGCCUUUGAAUUAAUAAGGGAGAACCUGUGCAUGUCUACUUUAAUAUUAUCCAAAAGAAUGUUUAAAGGAUUUCCAUUAGACACUUGAAUUUUGUUACAGAAAUACAAUUUUGAUAAAGUGAUGUCCUAACUAGUGCCCCAGUCACCCGGACUUAGCUCGGGUGGUUUGAGGAAGUGGGUGUCUUCGUAGAGAUCUCAUCCUAAAUUCAAAUCUUGUGCUCUCCUCUUGGACUGGAAAUGAAAAAUAUAUCCCAUUACCCCAAAAGAACGUGGUACUAAUUAAAGGUAUAAAUAAGAAGAAAAAAAACAUAGAACUGAGCUUGAGGUGGUUAAGAUGCAUCGGAUCACCAGAAGACAACUAACUAUAUAACUACAUAAUAUGCCUGAAUGGAACGAAACAACAUAAGUAUUCUACAAGCAUAGCAGGAGGAAAAAGGGACUAAACAUCCCUACCUCUUGGCUUUGACACAAGAUGAGGACUCCACAAAUAACCUGUUGGUAAAU